GCAAAUCUCACGCACGAGCGGUUCCGGGUGCUCCAAAACUUGUUCGCGAAGUACCCGGAGAAAGAGCGCGGGCUGGGCGAGCCCCCGCUGCAGCCGAGACGCGGCGUCCGAGCCUGCGAGCAACACCCGCGUCAGGGUUUAGAAGUUCGGAGGAAGAAAAGGCGGCUUUUGCUUUACAAGGUUUCUCUGGCUGUCCUGGAAUUUGUUCUGUAGACCAGCCUGGGCUUAGAUUCUGAAUCAGCCUGCCUCUGCCUAGACAGCUGGGAAUAAAGGGCUGUGUUUUCAAAUGGCAAGUACACAGCUCACUAUGAGUCUUCUGUAGGAGGUGUUUCCAUGGGUGUCUUCCAUAGGAGGCUAAUUAAACCUUUCUGUGCUAUUCCCUGUAUUCCUGUGCCUGGUCCUGUGUCUUCUCAGCUGGACCCUGGUGGAGACUGAAGGGGGAAGUACCAUGUGCCUAUAACCUGCACAGGGCCAGGCGACAAGUCUUCUAAAACAAUAUGUAAGAUGCUUUGUUGGUUGUCAUAAUCAUCAAAUACCAUCUUCAGAAUUUGGUGCCUGUGAGUGGCUCAUUCUAAGGGAAAGAAAUAAGCAGAAACCCUGGUGCAGUUCUUCAGGAAGCGCAGCUGCCUCUUCUGGAUCCAGAGCGCCAUCUCCAGCAUCACAGUCUAGAGAGAAGCCCACAAAAGACAAGACAAAGCAAACACUGUCUUCUCAAAACCAGAUAAAAGCCUGCUGCUAUUUCUCUGGUGUGUCCAGACCUAUCACUGUGGGAGAUGAAGGAGGGACCAAGAGAGCCCUUCCUUCCAGGGUUUCUAGCACCAUCACCUUAAACAUCCUCAAAGCCAAACAGAACAGUAAUAAAGCUCUGGGUAGGUCGGUUAUAACUCAGCUCUUACCACAAUGAAGACAAUAUAAAUAUUCCUGCAGUACGAAAACAAUAGAUAGAAUGGGGCGAUAAAGCUAGAUAUGAUAGAGGGCCCCUUUAAUCCAAGCACUCAAGAGGCUAAGGCAGGAGGAUGGUGAGGAAGCCAGUCUUGGCUACGUAAGAAAAUCUUGUUUCAAAACAGAUGAAAUAGAAAAAGGAUUGCAAGAACACUCUAGAGUCUUCAAAGCAGCUGGAAAUGACUUCCUUGUACAAAAAACUUUCUGUACAGAACACUCUUACUGAAUAGGAUGUGCGUGUGCAUGUGUUUUCCCCUGGAAUUGAACCUAGGGCCUCACACAUACUCACUAAGCAACAUGUCCAACCCCAGAAAAGACAUUUUAACUCUUUCUGAAGUUAUAUCUAAAUCUAAAGCAUUUGGAAAUGAAGUCUGCGCUGCAGAAUUCAAAGUUCUUAUCCUUUUAAAACCAAUCAAUUUUGGUCUCAAAAGCUGAACUAGUUUACAUUUUCAGAGUGUCUUCAAAGUGCCACAUUGGUACCUGAUGUUUUAUAUGCACUGCUUAACUGCUAAGCUUUUGUCCUUCAGAAAAUGAAGAAAAUGAUACAACUUCUGUUAUCUUUGUCUUACUAUAUAUGAUCUAUGCCAAGAUUAAAUGUUGUUGAAUAAAGAAAUACAGUACCCAGACUGUAAAAUACAUAAUGAACACACUAGACAAAA